rnacentral:misc_RNA from 1 species
AACGCACCUUGCACUCUUUGGUAUUCCGAAGAGUAUGCCUGUUUGAGUGUCAUUAAAUUCUCAAACCUCACAAGUUUUGCGACUUCGUUGAGGCUUUGGAUGUGGGGGUUGCUGGCUUUUCACGAGUCAGCUCUCCUUAAAUGCAUUAGUGGUUACUGUUCGCUACAUCCUGGUGUGAUAAUAUCUACGCCUAGUAGCGAUGUUAAGUGUAGCUGCUUCAAACCGUCCAAGUAUUUGGACAAUUUGAACCAUUUGACCUCAAAUCAGGUAGGACUACCCGCUGAACUUAA